rnacentral:lncRNA from 1 species
UUGGUUUUCCUCUAAUCUAGCCAAGCUUUUCUUGAUUAACUCUGCUCUAACUUGUUUUUUUGGUUUUCCGCCUCUUCUAACCCGUUUUUUUUCUUGGUUUUCUCUGCUCCAACCUCGCUAUUCUGGGUUUUACUCCGCUCUAACUUCGCUUUUCUUGGUUUUCCUCCGCUCUAACCCCGCUUUUCUUGGUUUUCCUCCGCUCUAACCCCGCUUUUCUUGGUUUUCCUCUGCUCUAACUUAGCUUUUC